AGUUCCCGGAAGCGCGUCCAGGCCAACCGCUCACGCCUCCAGGUCUCCCCGACGACGCGCCAAACUAGUCACGGCCGCCCGGAACUCUGCUUACAGUAUACUUCUGCACUACAUGCAGUGCCCAGAAGAGGGAGUUGGGUCUUCCUGGAACUGGACUGGACUUACGCCACUCACGGGUCGGACGUGACGUAAGGAGGGUUCCGGCUUCGGCCUCCGCCGCUGGCGACGACGCGGCGUGUUCGUCUUAAAAUGGCGCAGCUGGAUCUGGACAAGUAUUAUGUGGAGAUAGCGCGGCACUGCAAGUACCUUCCAGAAAACGACCUGAAGGGUUCCCAGGCCCAAGAAUGUGGGACUCAGCAUGGCUUCUGAUGAAAAGGUUACACUAAUCAUGAUGGGUACUCAUAAUGGUUCUGCCAGGUAUUUGAAAAUGAAAACCUACUUUUGGGAAAAAAGAGAACCUGAACUGAAAACGCCAUUGAAGAAUUCUCAGCUGGAAAAAUAAACAUCAGGGACGUAUCUUGCUAGGUUUAAUCACCAACACAGAGAGAAGCCACCACAGCUCUGGGUGGGACCAGGGGGAGAACUUGCAGUGCUGUCUAUAUGAUGUUGGCUUUGCAGGGAUGCAAAAUGCAAGGAUUAUGGGAUCACUGAAACUCACAAAAGGUUCUAGAGAAAAAUGCUGAAACCAA